rnacentral:lncRNA from 1 species
CUCAUUUUUUUUAAAGCGCCAUCGUAGAGGAUUUAUUUCAGAGCAUGAUUAUCCUCAAUAGUCUUCAUAUUAUUGACAUCCUCCAAAUGCUCAAAAUGCACCACAUGGAGGAUGUCAAUAAACACAGGUUUGCCUGGAAGACUGACUCGAUCUCCCUGUGUAUUGAAUCUACAAGUCUACAAAUUCAUCAAUCUCUCCAUUAGAUGAUAGCUCCAACUUUGUUAGAUUAACAUGAAUCAUUCCCCCAAAAGACUAAUGCUGUCCUUUAUACUCUCC